rnacentral:rRNA from 1 species
CACGCCGUAAACGAUGGGUGCUAGGUGUCGGGGGCUAUGACCCCCUCGGUGCCGAAGCAAACGCAUUAAGCACCCCGCCUGGGGAGUACGGCCGCAAGGCUAAAACUCAAAGGAAUUGACGGGGGCCCGCACAAGCGGUGGAGCAUGUGGUUUAAUUCGAUGCAACGCGAAGAACCUUACCUGGGCUAGAAAACAUAAGAAGUCUGCGGAAACGUGGAUGUGCUCUUCGGAGAACUUGUGGUUAGGUGC